UUGAGGGGUGACCUUACAAAGAUUUAUAAAAUCAUGAGGGGUGUAGAUAAGAUGAAUGACAGGUGUCUUUUACCUAGGGUGGAUGAUUUCAAGAAUUGGGUGCAUAUUUUUAAGGUGAGAGGAGGAAAGUUUUAAAAAGACAUGAGGUUACGCAGAGUGGUUCGUGUGUGGAACGAACUUCCAGAGGGACUGAUGAAUGGGGGUAUAGUUACAGUCUGUUCUGCAAUAAUGCAUAUUUCUUCAACGCAAAUUGGCUUUAACACAAUUGAAAAUUUUAGGCUGUUAUUUGUAAAAUGCAAACUUUCAAAACUUAUGAUUUCAGCCCCAUUAGUUUAAAUGGUGCUGCUAUUUUGCAAUGUUCUUUGAACAGGAGAUCACAUGAGAACGGAACGAUCAUGUUAUAUCAGAACCGACUCUACAAUGUUUAAGAGACAUAUUGAAUCAUUCAGUUCUGAAGGAAAAAUAUUAAGCCGACUCUGGCUCGUUUCGAAAAUAUUUUCUCAUCAACCUGUUCAGAGAUGUCAUGACACACAUCUAGAGCAGAUCACUUUUAAUGGCUCUUCUGGAGCCUGCCAAACAUCUCAAACUGGUUUGAACAGGUCUGCUCAGGGUAAACAUUAAUUUCCUGGGUUGGAGAGAAAUAAAGAACUUAGAAAAUGGAAUCCUUCAACAGAACAAUCAACAUUAGUUUUUUGUUUCAGCAUUAACAACGGCUUCCAUUGAUGCUGCCAGCCUUGAUGAGCUUCUUUAGAACUUUCAGUGUUUGAUUCAAUCAUUCACUCACUGAGGCAGUCACUAAUGACUGCUCUUUCCAAUAUACCUGCAACAUAACAUGUUAAUCGCAGUUGACCUUAUUAUUUUGAAAAAGAUCCAGUAAUUUCAGAUAAACAAAUGCGCCUUGAGUUCUGUUUCAUUGUAAAUUGCAAGAGUAUGUGUACAAAUCUGCCCAAAGUCUUGAAAUAAAAAUCAAAUUGCCAUUUUAUGUUGAAAUGCCCCACUGACAUUCAUUACACAUCAUUAAGUUCCUGAAUUUACAAUUU